GUUCUGCACUUGACCUCCAGAGGGCAAGGCCGCACAAACUGGAGCUUUUGUUUCUGUUGAAGAUCAAUUCACUGCUCAGUUUCUGCUUCCUGCAGCUGGUUGAGUUCUUUCUAGACAGAGACAAGUGACAAGAAUCAGAGGUUUAAAAGCAACCACAUUCAUCUCUGCAGGUUUUGUAGUUUUAUAUAAGCAAGGAGCUCGUCCAGCAAACCUUCCGCACACUUCUUGUUCUUGGUCUCUUCAGCCACUUUCCUUCUUGUUCUCUGGAGAUCUUGCAGAAAAGAGCCUAUAGUGUUUCCCUUGCUCAGCCAUGCUCCUGGUGUUCAUCCCACUGCUGGGGAUACAUUUUGUCCUGAGAACUGCCAGAGCCCAGUCAGUGACCCAGCCUGAUAUCCACAUCACUGUCUCUGAAGGAGCCUCACUGGAGUUGAGAUGUAACUAUUCCUAUGGGGCAACACCUUCUCUCUUCUGGUAUGUCCAGUCCCCCGGCCAAGGCCUCCAGCUGCUCCUGAAGUACUUUUCAGGAGACACUCUGGUUCAAGGCAUUAAAGGCUUUGAGGCUGAAUUUAAGAGGAGUCAAUAUUCCUUCAACCUGAGGAAACCCUCUGUGCAUUGGAGUGAUGCUGCUGAGUACUUCUGUGCUGCGGGUGCCACAGUGCCUGGGUCUGCAGGGGGAGCUGAACACAAACUGCCUAUGCUAGAGAAGUUUUCAGAGACUCAGUGUAUCUUCCUGUGGCAUUUUCAAAGAUCUCUUGCUUUUAUGAUGAGUGGAAAGAACUGUAUCAGAAACUUUUGUACUCCUUGUCUGCUUGCUGCCUCGGAGGAUAACCAGUGCUUCGGAGGAAAAGGAGAAGGAGGAGGAGAGAGCUCUUUAGCUGCCACUUAGCUCAUACUAUAAUGUCUACGAGGGUAGGUACCUAGGAACCCUGAAAAUAUAGAUCAAAUUACUAAAUUGUGGGCAAUGGCACUCCUUAGCCAAAUGGUGAACCAAGAUGUCAACAGUAUGUUUUAGGAUGUGGUGAUAUGACUACAUGUGAUAAAUAUGUUUAAGUGAUUUCUGGAAUGCUGUGAGGAAGGUGAAUGAUGUGUCAGAUAUAUAAAAUUAUGAAAAAGAAAUGUAUGCUCAUUUAAUGUUCCUGCCUCAGUCCCUUCCUUCUUUGCUGGUUUUGGACCACACUCUCAUCUACCAC